rnacentral:misc_RNA from 1 species
AGCAGCCGCGGUAAUUCCAGCUCCAAUAGCGUAUAUUAAAGUUGUUGCAGUUAAAAAGCUCGUAGUUGAGUUUCGGGAUUGACGUGAUGGUCGUGCCUUAAGGGGUAUGAACUGUUGCUGUUGAUUUCUCACCUUCUGGAGAAACUUGAUGUCCUUAAUUGGGUGUCUUGCGGAUCCAGGACCUUUACCUUGAAAAAAUUUAGAGUGUUUAAAGCAGGCAUUUUGCUCGAAUACAUUAGCAUGGAAUAAUAGAAUAGGACGGCAUGGUUCUAUUUUGUUGGUUUCUAGGAUCACCGUAAUGAUUAAUAGGGAUAGUUGGGGGCAUUAGUAUUCAAUUGUCAGAGGUGAAAUUCUUGGAUUUAUUGAAGACUAACUACUGCGAAAGCAUUUGCCAAGGAUGUUUUCAUUAAUCAAGAACGAAAGUUAGGGGAUCGAAGACGAUCAGAUACCGUCGUAGUCUUAACCAUAAACUAUGCCGACUAGGAAUCAGACGAUGUUA